AUAAUAAUAAUAAUAAUAAUAAUAAUAAUAAUAAUUCGGUGGGGACGAGGGAUAAGGGGUCAUAAUAGUGUUACGUUAAGAACGACAACACAACACGGACAUGGACUCGUCGCCGAGCGUCCUCGGUCUCGUCCUCGUCAGCCCUUUGUGUUCCUUCGGACAAUUAUCGUCCGUCCAAUUAUUCGCAUCGCGGAUCGUCGAACUCACGGAAUCGUGCUUUUUAAUCGGAUAGUGCGAGUUUAUCACCAUCAUCAUUUAUUGUUCGUCGAUAAUUUCAACUACGUCUUCGUCGAAAAAGAACGUCGAACGAAAUAUAAUACGGAAUAAAUCCAAGAUCAUAGAUCGUAAACGAUCGUUCUUUCUCUAUUUUUCAAAAGAGAAAAACAUAUAUACGUAAAGUAAGAAAUAGAAAGAGAGAGAGAGAGAGAGAGAAAGGGAGAGAGAAAGGGAAAGUGUGAUCAAAGAUAAACAAAUAAAAAAAGAAAACAAAUCACAAUCAAAAGAAACUACAACAACAAAAAGUGUUUGUUCACGAAAUGGAUGCUUUGAGAGCGCGAGUGAUAUGGACAUUUUGGGGUAAUGAUAACGUUACGUCGUUCGACUGAACGCUAAAAAGAGAAGCUUGUGUUCGCAAGAAAGAAAGAAAGAAGGAAAGAAGGAAGGAAGGAAAGAAAAACCGAAAAAAAGAAAGGAAGACCGAAGAAAAGAGAAAGAGAGAGAGAGAGAGAGAGAGAGAGGGAGAGAGAGAGAGAGAGAAAGAGAGAGAGAGAGAAAAAAUGCAAUUGUCCUUUCGAUGAAAGAGAAGAGAGAAAAGAAAACAGAACGUUUCUCCUCGUUCGAUCUCGUCCAAUAAGAUUUGUGAUUGACCGAAACAGCGCGAUAAAGGAAGAGGAAGGAAGAGUAAUAGGGGUGGGUACGGAGCAUAUGUGGGACGGAGAAGAGAGAGGAAGACGCACAUUCGACAACAAAAAUUUUUAAAAAAGAAAUACAAAGAGAUAGAGAAAGAGAGGGAGAGAGAAAGAGAAGUAAAGAGAUAAAGAUAAAAAGAUUAAAAAAACAAAAAGAAAGAGAGAAGGAAAAAAAAGAUAAAAGAAAAGAGACGUAUGAUUAUUUAUAAAUUAUAAGGAGGGAGGGUAACAAACGCAAGAAAAUAAUUGUGACGUUCAGACUGACAUCCAGAAAGUUACUUUUUUCCCAACUGAGACUGUCGUCGUGUUCCAUCCAUUAACUUUAUUACUAAUUACUGCUAAAUUGCGAAUCAAUCGAAUACGAGACCCUCGUCUAUCGAGAACGUUUAAAAAGAAGUUUCAACAAGAAUACAAAGAAAAAAAGAAAAAGAAAAAAAGAAAAGAAAGCGGAAGGAAAAAAAAUUCAAGAAAGAAAAUAAAAAUAAAAGAAGAAGAAGUAGUAGAGAAGAAAGAAAGAAAGGAAGAAAAAGUGGAAGAUUAAGUUUAAGUCAACGACCCUUUUAACAUUUUAUACCGAUAUUUUAUGAAGCGAAUGAACGAAGAGAUACGUAUAAUCGAUUGAGAAAGAACUUUUUCAAGGUUCGUUUCUAAAUUAAAACGUAGAAACGAACGAGAGAAAAGAAAGGAAAUAAAGUUCGUAGAAGAGCUGGCACCGUGUGAUUUUUACGAAAUUUAAAAUUCUACGUUAACGACUAAGCACAAGUAAGAAAAUUUGCUUAUAUUAUUGCAAAUAAGUGUAAUGUUUAACGUUUAAUAUUCAUCAUUUAUCGGUAAUAUCGUUUUGCGAUAGCCACAGUGGAGAAAUAUUAACGGCACGCCACAAGAAGAAGCAAUUUAAAAGGAAAAAGAAAAAAAAAAGAAAAAGACAAAAAAAAGAAAGAAAAGAUAAGAAAAAAACUGAACAAAAAAAAAAUAAUAAUAAUAAAUAAUAAUAAUUUAAGGAAGAAACUCGCGAAGAAAAACGGAUUACGCACACGUUUGAUAAAUGUAAUCAUUUGCACAAUUAGAAAAGCACAAAGAGAGAGAAAGAUAGAAAGAGAUAGAAAGAGAAAGAACAAAAGGCAAAUAUAAAAAUCGUAGGAACGACGUCGUCGAUGAUUGUUUAAAAAUAUUAAACGAAAAAAAGAAAAAAAGAAC